GACGUAGGGCGCGAGCGUUGUCCGGAUUUAUUGGGCGUAAAGAGCUCGUAGGCGGCUUGUCGCGUCGACUGUGAAAACCCGCAGCUCAACUGUGGGCUUGCAGCCGAUACGGGCAGGCUAGAGUUCGGUAGGGGAGACUGGAAUUCCUGGUGUAGCGGUGAAAUGCGCAGAUAUCAGGAGGAACACCGGUGGCGAAGGCGGGUCUCUGGGCCGAUACUGACGCUGAGGAGCG
rnacentral:rRNA from 1 species